rnacentral:lncRNA from 1 species
UUCUGCUUAUCGCCUUCUUGGGCAUUUCAUGCAAAACACUGGGGUCUUAAAUCCAGGAAACAGUUUUGAGGGGAGCGCAGGCAGCACAAUUCUGUUUCCAAAGUCGUGCCCCCAGGACCCAACCUGAAGCCUUUUGUGCUGAAAGGAAAAAAAAAAUGCAGAUGGACCAUCAGCUCAAGUUUCACGAUGAACAAAUCCCUUUGUAAUUACCCGGCCCACUCUUCUUUCCCUCCUGGGCAGGGGAAGGCAAAAUAAUUACAGUAAUUUGCCAAAAUAGUGCUAAUGGUUAUUUAGAAAUUUGUACAGACGAAAAAGCAGGGUCUGUGUUUGAAGUUAAAUGCAUGACUAAUAUUCUGUCUGUAUAAUAAGAUUCCAAUUCUGUACUAAUGUUGGCUGGAAAAAAUAAACAAAUCAUCAGAUACUGUACAAUUGUUUUUAUUCCCCGUUGUUACACCUGAGUUAACUU